CCUACGGGUGGCAGCAGUGGGGGAUAUUGCACAAUGGGGGGAACCCUGAUGCAGCGAAGCCGCGUGGGUGAAGAAGCGCCCCGGCGCGUAAAGCCCUGUCAGCAGGGAAGAAAAUGACGGUACCUGAAGAAGAAGCCCCGGCUAACUACGUGCCAGCAGCCGCGGUAAUAAGCAGGGGGCAAGCGUGAUCCGGAUUUACUGGGGGUAAAGGGGGCGCAGACGGCGAUGCAAGCCAGGAGUGAAAGCCCGGGGCCCAACCCCGGGACAGGUCUUGGAACGGCGUGGCUGGAGUGCAGGGGGGGCAGGCGGAAUGCCUGGUGUAGCGGUGAAAUGCGUAGAUAUCAGGAGGAACACCGGUGGCGAAGGCGGCCUGCUGGACUGCAACUGACGUUGAGGCCCGAAAGCGUGGGGAGCAAACAGGAUUAGAUACCCGGGUAGUC
rnacentral:rRNA from 1 species